GAACGCCGUAUGCGGUGAAAGUCGCACGUACGGUGUGAAGGGGGGGGAAAGGGUGCCGUAACGUAAAGACGACGCUCACCCUUAC
rnacentral:ncRNA from 1 species